GACGUAGGGUGCGAGCGUUGUCCGGAUUUAUUGGGCGUAAAGAGCUCGUAGGCGGCUCGUCGCGUCAGCUGUGAAAACCCGCAGCUUAACUGUGGGCUUGCAGCUGAUACGGGCGGGCUAGAGUUCGGUAGGGGAGACUGGAAUUCCUGGUGUAGCGGUGAAAUGCGCAGAUAUCAGGAGGAACACCGAUGGCGAAGGCAGCUCGCUGGGACGGUACUGACGCUGAGGCGCGAAAGCGUGGGGAGCGAACAGG
rnacentral:rRNA from 1 species